rnacentral:rRNA from 1 species
GAGAGUGCAGGCGGUUUUCUAAGUCUGAUGUGAAAGCCUUCGGCUUAACCGGAGAAGUGCAUCGGAAACUGGAUAACUUGAGUGCAGAAGAGGGUAGUGGAACUCCCAUGUGUAGCGGUGGAAUGCGUAGAUAUAUGGAAGAACACCAGUGGCGAAGGCGGCUACCUGGUCUGCAACUGACGCUGAGACUCGAAAGCAUGGGUAGCGAACAGGAUUAGAUACCCUGGUAG